UACGAAGGGGGCUAGCGUUGCUCGGAAUCACUGGGCGUAAAGGGUGCGUAGGCGGGUCUUUAAGUCAGGGGUGAAAUCCUGGAGCUCAACUCCAGAACUGCCUUUGAUACUGAGGAUCUUGAGUAUGGGAGAGGUGAGUGGAACUGCGAGUGUAGAGGUGAAAUUCGUAGAUAUUCGCAAGAACACCAGUGGCGAAGGCGGCUCACUGGACCGUUGUUGACGCUGAGGUGCGAAAGCGUGGGGAGCAAACAGG
rnacentral:rRNA from 1 species